UGACAUUUCAGUGCUGUGGAUUGGCUGCUGGCACAGAGAUACAGUGCCGUGUCUCCUGGUUCCGAGGACGGGAUUUCCAGGCUGCAAGAACCUACCAACCUGCUACACACUUAUUUCCUGAGCUGGGCCCAUAAGGAGUUUGUGUUCUAAGAAGGGCUAACGUUUGGCACUGUGGCUUUGCUGCUGGCACAGAAAUACAGUGCUGCGUCCCCUGACUCCGUGGACUGGAUCUCCAAGGUACAGGAUAACCCUGCUCGGAUAUUGAAAGACGACAGCAGCAAGCCCGGAGCCUGCUGAAAACAGAAGCCAGAGAGAGGAGAGCCCAGUAGGACCCGAGUCAGACAGGAUGACAGGCAGAGCUGAGCCUCACUCCCUCCCUGUGCUCCCAGCUCCUGGAGAAUCUGUUUGUUUUGUGCAAUCUUUCUGUCAUCUCCCUAGGGCCAUAAUCCCCCAUCUCCUCUGACCGGUGGCUCUCACCUUACCGUUUACACCUCUAGAGAGCAGAGCCGCUCCCUCUCCCUUUGAUGAGCAUAAACAAUCCACAUUGCCUGGCCACCACUUGACCAUGCCAACACACACACAUGCCCACCGAAGCUCCCAGGUAGAAGGAGGCUCAUACCUGUCCC